GGGUAUUAUCUGGCUCAGCUUGGCACAGUUCAAGUGCACAACUGCAACCUUUUCCAUGACCCAAAAGUCAAUGCCACUCCGUGGGCUGGCAGUUUGCAAAUAAAACGUAUCCUUAAUGAAGUGUGGAAGCUCCUGUUCUUUUCCUUCCUCAGGAGACGUGCCUUAAUCUCUGGCUCACAGCCUUGUCAAAUGCUGCAGUAAAGAACUGGCAAGCUCAGUGCUGCUAAUGGAUUGAAAUCUCCACCAGAGCAUGCUGCAUAGAUUUGAGAGAAGAAGAAAAAGGAAGAUUAGAAACAAAGAAGUUUGUCUGCGAGGCUUUUACUGAAUCUUAGCCAAAGUAUUGGCGCCUUUUGAUUAUUGUUUAUGAAGGAUGAAGAGCACUGUAUCAAUUAAAGAAUAGCUCUGAAAUGCAGAGUUAAACCACAGCCACAGUGAAUUUCCAAAUAAAUAACAACAGCUUAAAGCAAGAUUUUCAGGCAUACGGGCUGGACACUGGACGUGGCCAAAGAAGGAAUUUAACGUGACCUAGAGAGCUCUUGCAAAAUCCUCCUUCUGUUGCUUCUGCUCUGCCUAUCCCCUGUUGUGCUCAAUUGGCAUGGCUUUAAAUAUCACCUCCUAGCCGUCAGCGCAGCGGGGCAGUGUCUGGAUGAGAUGGUAGGAGACUGGUGUUAGGCACUCAGAUCAGAAAGGGGAUUGCAUCCAUUUGGGAAAAAGCACUUGGCCAAAGUGUCCAGCACAGAGCGAAAUUCCAUCCUUUUGAAGGAAAAGUGCAUGAAAGAAAAAUACUGUCAGAUGUCCAUGUACUAUUAAGAUGGAAUAAUUUAUACUGAAUUCUGCUCUUAAUGUUUUGGUAGAUUUGGAUGUGCUCUGCCUGUGAUCUGGAUGUGGAUAGGGUUUCUCUGUCUGUGCUUCUGGCAAAUGUGGUCAGUAUUUAACCCAGACUGUAUUUUCGUGCUUACCAUCUGCCUGAUUCUGAAUGUCAGAUCCACAACUGGCCCACCAGUUAUUUCUGUUCAGAGACUUUGAACUUGCUCAGUUCAGCAGUGACGAAAGGAUGUACUGGUUGUACGAAAAUGUCAGCCUAAUUCAAUCUCCUCCCAAAAGCUAGAACCAAAUCUCUCUGUGAAAAUAAGAACAUUCUGCUUAAUUUUCGUUGUGUUAUUUUCCACAAUUUUUUUUUUGUUGUUGCAUUUGAUAAAAAUGGAACUGUGAUAAUCGAGGCUGAGUUUGUAAGAAUUUUCUGUCUGAUUUCGAUGGCCACACUGCAAUAAACCUUUAGUAGGUGAUUUCCAC
rnacentral:lncRNA from 7 species